UGUAAGAAGCUCCUCGCCUUCCCGGCGAGGCGUCAUCCUGAUGAUGACAGAGCUGUCGGCCGUUUCGGCCACAGAAUCGUCUCCAUCCUCUCGUGGGCAACUCCGAGGAAUUGGAGACCGUCGAUGCAUCGGAGACGGGGGCGGCAGCGGAGAGACAGAGAUGUACGCCUUCUUCAUCACUGCCUCCAUCCUGUCGUUGAACUCAAAGAAGACCAUGUACUGAAAGGGGGGACCAGCGUCAGACGGUCAUUUUCUGAAGAACCAGAGCUGCCGUUCAGCCAACGUCUGGAUCUCACCUUCAGCAGACGUGGGAACCGCAGCAGAGAGUUCACGCCGGUGAAGACGUAAAAGAUCUCCAUGGGGAACAGACUGAUGACGUCCAUCUGAGCAGAACACAGUUCAAACAUGACAAAUGUGGAACCUUCUGGUUCUGUCAAACUGUCAGUCUGGUUUGGUUUGAGUUGCAAACAAGUUUGGGUGUCAUUGUAAAUAUGCUAGCGCUGCUAACGUGUAGCUGUGUUGGACUAAGUUUUUUUCUAUGUGUUACUUUUUUUAAAAACUUGUCCUGUCCAACAGCUGAGCAAACAGAUCAGAGCUGAAGACAGAUUGUCUGUAAUAAUAGGAGGUUAUGGAUCUACUGACACAUGAGGGGUUUAUUUGUAUAAACCCCUUUUGUAUUUGACGCUUAACUUUAUUCAUGUUAUGUUUGCAGACAUUUUUUGUUGGACCAGAUGGAAACAAAAGAAGACAUGGGUUUUUAUGUGUUACUAACAAGCUUUGAGUUAGACUAACAUAUUCUGCUUUUUUACAUGUUGCAAACAAGGGCAGGAGUUACGAGUUACGAGUAAGCUAACAUGGCUAACGUAUAGUGUGUCACAAGAAUUACUGUUAAUAAAAUCUGACUGAAUGACA